AUGCACGCGACAAAGAAUCUUUGUGUGACCCUGCUUGGCUUCUUGGGCGUGUAUGGGAAGACAAAAGAUACACCUGAGGCACGGGAGGACCAGCAACGUAUGCACGGAAAAGACGGCAUACAUCAGGGUCAUGCAAGCUACACUCUUACCAAAGAAGAGAAGGAAAUCUUCUUUGAAUGCCUGCUCAGUAUUAAGGUACCGUCUGGCUUCUCGUCGAAUAUAAAGGGAAUAAUAAACAUGGCAGAGAAAAAGUUCCAGAACCUAAAGUCUCAUGACUGCCACGUGAUUAUGACGCAACUACUUCCGGUUGCAUCGAUGGGGCUUCUACCGGAAAACGUUCGAUUAGCCAUUGUGAAGCUAUGUGCAUUUCUCAAUGCAAUCUCUCAGAAGGUAAUCGAUCCAGAAAUCAUACCAAGGUUACAGAAUGAUUUGGUGCAAUGUCUUGUCAGUUUCGAGUUGGUGUUCCCACCAUCCUUCUUCAACAUCAUGACGCACGUCCUAGUUCACCUAUGCGAAGAGAUUAACAUUUUGGGUCCUGUAUUUCUACACAAUAUGUUCCCCUUUGAGAGGUUCAUGGGAGUCUUAAAGAAAUAUGUUCAUAACCGUGCUAGGCCAGAAGGAAGCAUCUCCAAGGGCCGUCAAAAUGAGGAGGUCAUUGAGUUUUGUAUUGACUUUAUUCCUGACCUUAAGCCGAUUGGUGUUCCUGAAUCGCGGCAUAAGGGCAGACUGGAUGGAAAAGGCACGCUAGGAGGGGAACAAAUCAUAUGUAUGGACGGACAUUCUCUCACUGAAGCACACUACACAGUUUUACAGAAUUCCCCCUUGGUGGCUCCGUAUAUGGAUGAACACAAGAAUUUGCUACGCUCCAAACACCCGGAGCGGUCUGAUGGCUGGAUUACACGUGAACAAACCAGGAGUUUCGCCAGCUGGUUGCAAGCACGUACCAUGCAUGACACCUCUAUUGAAGAUGACCUGUACUUGCUGUCCCAGUUACCAUCUUCGAAUAUAAUGACUUUCAAAGGGUACGAGAUAAAUGGUAAUACAUUUUACACGAUCGCCCAAGAUAAGAAGAGCACCAACCAAAACAGUGGUGUCCGCUUUGAUGCAGAAACCAAGACGGGAAAGGAAACAUAUUAUGGUUAUAUACAUGACAUAUGGGAACUUGACUAUCGACGUGGUUUGAAGGUCCCUUUGUUUCGGUGCAAAUGGGUCAAUAUGACACGAGGCGGGGUAACGGAAGACCCGCAGUACGGAAUGACAACGGUGGAUCUCAACAAUCUUGCGUAUGCAGACGAACCAUUCGUCCUAGCCAAUGAUGUGGCACCGGUUUUCUAUGUGAAGGACAUGUCUACCAAGCCAAGAAAAAGAAAAGAUAAGGAAGCGAAUGCAUCGUACGAUGAGCCAAUGCGGCACAUAGUUCUUUCUGGGAAGAGAAACUUCGUGGGAGUGGAUGACAAGACAGACAAGUCAGAAGAUUAUGAAAAGUUUGAUGAAAUUGCUCCAUUCACAGUGAAUAUUGACCCGAGCAUCCCGUUAAAUGAUGAAGAUUUUCCAUGGCUACGACGCAAAGGGACACACGCGAAGAAAAAGUUUCACACCCAAAGAUCUGGGAUGUGA
rnacentral:rRNA from 1 species